AGUGUCCGCAGGCCUCGGCCCGCAAACGGACAUGCGUCCCCCAGAGGAAGGAAGGGUGUGGAGGGGAAAACGAAGGUGCCCUGAUGGGGAGAUAACGGGGCUAGAAUUCCAAGGCCCCCUCUCUCUGAUACCAGGUUCUCCAGGGAGACAGAUCUGGGCUUCUCAGCAGAGGCCGCAGCUGAAACGAUGAUGCCAAUGGUUUGGAUUGACAGCAGCUUAAGGAGGAAAAAAAAAAAAAGAAAGAAAAAAAGAAAAGGCUGGUGACACCCCCCUGGCGUGGUUGACCUGGUCCCAGUCGCAGUCCCUAUGGGACAGCAGAGCUGUCAAAACAGAACCCAAUGAUGACGGCUGAAAAUCAAGCCAGACUGCUGUGCGGUCAGCUUGCCGCCGUGGAAUGCCUUGUGUCUUGGCCAUGUCCAGCCAAGGGUACAACGUGCUUGUUCCCGAUCACCCAGGUUUGCCAUUGGAAGUCAAAGACAGAAUCGCUUCAUGGCACUACAGAUGUGGAAAAAUAAAAAUCUCAGCUAGAAAGAACGUCCGAUUUGGAGAUAGCGGGAGGACACGAAGGAGUGGGGGCCAUUUUGGUGCUGAGAGGAGGGUGCCCCAACUUCAGGAGGACCAUGUGACGGCUGUGGUUGUUUUCGGGGUCACUUGCAGCACACACAGCGUCCCCUUGAUGCUCGAUGGGGACCGCAGACGGGCCUGCAGACCUAACCCCUGGCUGUGGACAGGAGAGGCUGCUCCAGGCUUCUUUCCUUCUCAAUGCUUUACACAGGAUUUCCUUCAUUUGUGCUUUCCUUUGGUUUAACAGUUAAAAAAGAAGAGUGAGGGGGCAAAAUGGUUUGUCACUUGUCCAAAACUGAGAGAAGAGGUGGAAGUGGGCGCCAAAUCUCCUGGGUGAUGCUUCCUGGUCCUGGCGAUCGGUUGCCUUGCUCAGGGUUUGGGAGCUGUUGCUCCUGGAACCACCGCUGGCCUUCUGGGACCUCGCUUCCGUGGUAGGGGACGUGAACCAGCCUCCUGGUGGAGCUUUGUGUUGCAGUGAGGCCACAAAGCAAAGGCCCAGAGGCAGAGGCCUGACACUGGCUGUGGUCGACGGUCACACCUUGACUCCCUCUCUCUCU
rnacentral:lncRNA from 10 species